UCCGGUUUGUCACCGGCGGUCUCCUUAGAGUUCCCACCAUUACGUGCUGGCAACUAAGGACAAGGGUUGCGCUCGUUGCGGGACUUAACCCAACAUCUCACGACACGAGCUGACGACAGCCAUGCAGCACCUGUGUUCGCGUUCCCGAAGGCACUCCUCUAUCUCUAAAGGAUUCGCGACAUGUCAAGGCCAGGUAAGGUUCUUCGCGUUGCAUCGAAUUAAACCACAUACUCCACCGCUUGUGCGGGCCCCCGUCAAUUCCUUUGAGUUUCAGUCUUGCGACCGUACUUCCCAGGCGGCGAACUUAACGCGUUAGCUUCGAUACUGAGGACCUAAGUGUCCCCAACAUCCAGUUCGCAUCGUUUAGGGCGUGGACUAC
rnacentral:misc_RNA from 1 species